rnacentral:rRNA from 1 species
CAGCAUGCCGCGUGAGUGAAGAAGGCCCUUGGGUCGUAAAGCUCUUUUAUGGGGGAAGAUGAUGACGGUACCCCAAGAAUAAGCACCGGCUAACUAUGUGCCAGCAGCCGCGGUAAUACAUAGGGUGCGAGCGUUGUUCGGAAUUACUGGGCGUAAAGGGCGCGCAGGCGGAAUAGUAAGUCGGAGGUGAAAGCCCGGGGCUCAACCCCGGAGGGUCUUUCGAAACUGCUAAUCUAGAGAGGGUCAGGGGCCGGCAGAAUUCCUGGUGUAGAGGUGAAAUUCGUAGAUAUCAGGAGGAAUACCGGUGGCGAAGGCGGCCGGCUGGGGCCACUCUGACGCUGAGGCGCGAAAGCGUGGGGAGCAAACAGGAUUAGAUACCCUGGUAGUCCACGCCGUAAACGAUGAGCACUGGACGUCCGGAGGGUUCGACC